GAAGACCUUUCCCUAGUCCGAGAGGACUGAGAAGGACGCACCUCUGGUGUACCAGUUAUCACGUUCACGAUAAAUGUUUGGGUAGCCAAAUGCGGAGCAGAUAAAUGCUGAAAGCAUCUAAAUAGUAUAGUCCACCCCAAG
rnacentral:ncRNA from 1 species